rnacentral:rRNA from 1 species
UACGAAGGGUGCAAGCGUUGUUCGGAAUUACUGGGCGUAAAGCGUGCGUAGGCGGUUUAGUAAGUUGGAAGUGAAAUCCCGGGGCUCAACUUCGGAAUUGCUUUCAAAACUACUAAUCUAGAAUAUGGCAGGGGACAGUGGAAUUCCUAGUGUAGAGGUGAAAUUCGUAGAUAUUAGGAGGAACACCAGUGGCGAAAGCGACUGUCUGGACCAUUAUUGACGCUGAGGCACGAAAGCGUGGGGAGCAAACAGG